ACUCCGGGAAACCGGGGCUAAUACCGGAUGGUUGUUUGAACCGCAUGGUUCAGACAUAAAAGGUGGCUUCGGCUACCACUUACAGAUGGACCCGCGGCGCAUUAGCUAGUUGGUGAGGUAACGGCUCACCAAGGCGACGAUGCGUAGCCGACCUGAGAGGGUGAUCGGCCACACUGGGACUGAGACACGGCCCAGACUCCUACGGGAGGCAGCAGUAGGGAAUCUUCCGCAAUGGACGAAAGUCUGACGGAGCAACGCCGCGUGAGUGAUGAAGGUUUUCGGAUCGUAAAGCUCUGUUGUUAGGGAAGAACAAGUGCCGUUCAAAUAGGGCGGCACCUUGACGGUACCUAACCAGAAAGCCACGGCUAACUACGUGCCAGCAGCCGCGGUAAUACGUAGGUGGCAAGCGUUGUCCGGAAUUAUUGGGCGUAAAGGGCUCGCAGGCGGUUUCUUAAGUCUGAUGUGAAAGCCCCCGGCUCAACCGGGGAGGGUCAUUGGAAACUGGGGAACUUGAGUGCAGAAGAGGAGAGUGGAAUUCCACGUGUAGCGGUGAAAUGCGUAGAGAUGUGGAGGAACACCAGUGGCGAAGGCGACUCUCUGGUCUGUAACUGACGCUGAGGAGCGAAAGCGUGGGGAGCGAACAGGAUUAGAUACCCUGGUAGUCCACGCCGU
rnacentral:rRNA from 1 species